rnacentral:rRNA from 1 species
AUGCACGCUGACAGAAUGCUUAACCCAUGCAAGUCUUUGGCGAAGCUGUGCUUGCACAGCCUAGCCAAGGCGGACGGGUGAGUAACGCGUAAGGAACUUGCCCUGCAGUCAGGGAUAACAGACGGAAACGACUGAUAAGACCUGGUAAAGUCAGGCGGACUCAUGUCCAGCCUGAUGAAAAGAGAUGCUGCAGGAGAGCCUUGCGUCCUAUUAGCUUGUUGGUGGGGUAACGGCCCACCAAGGCGAUGAUAGGUAGCCGGCCUGAGAGGGUGGACGGCCACAAGGGGACUGAGAUACGGCCCUUACUCCUACGGGAGGCAGCAGUGGGGAAUAUUGGACAAUGGGGGCAACCCUGAUCCAGCAAUUCUGUGUGCACGAUGAAGGUUUUCGGAUUGUAAAGUGCUUUCAGCAGGGAAGAAAAAAAUGACGGUACCUGCAGAAGAAGCGACGGCUAAAUACGUG